AUGGUGUGGCCUAGAGGAGGUGCAGGGGCUGUCUCUGCGGAGCAUUGCCCUUCGGCACGGUCAGUGGCUCUCUCUGUCGCGACAUGGCUAGGCAAUGGGAUGCCCUUCGAUGGCGAUUGUGACUUCCUAGCUCUUCAAGGCCGACAUAAGCCCGCCAUAGCUUCGUCAAAAAAAAACAUGUCGGCUGAGGAGGUGCAGGCCUUGAUGGCCUCCACGGAUACCGAUGGCGUCGGGCUGCUAGACGAGGAGGAGUUCCUGAGGCUGGCUAGGGCUGCACCUGGACGCCGACAGUGUCAACUUAUGAUCCGCCGGUUCGAUCUCAACGGCGACGGGGUGCUCACCUCCGACGAGUUCAAGACCAUGAUGAUGAUGAUGGCAUGA
rnacentral:rRNA from 1 species